UACGGGGGGGGCAAGCGUUGUUCGGAAUUACUGGGCGUAAAGGGCUCGUAGGCGGCCAACUAAGUCGGACGUGAAAUCCCUCGGCUUAACCGGGGAACUGCGUCUGAUACUGGAUGGCUUGAAUCCGGGAGAGGGAUGCGGAAUUCCAGGUGUAGCGGUGAAAUGCGCAGAUAUCAGGAAGAACACCCGUGGCGAAGGCGGUUCUCUGGGACGGUACUGACGCUGAGACGCGAAAGCGUGGGGAGCGAACAGG
rnacentral:rRNA from 1 species